GUUCUAUGGUUCUUGCUUUCCUUGCUUUAAAGGAACUUUCACUUUUGCAUAUUGUCUCGUAAUUGCAAUAAUUUUUUGUAAAUAACUUGUGGAUUUAUUUUAUUUUCUUCUUGUUAUUUGGCCACAUUCUUUUUCUUUUUUGGAUAAAUGUUGCUUCAUUUUCAUUGUUUGAAAUGCAUUUUAUUUAUUUGGCCAAAGAAGAGAGUUGAGGAGUGAGGUGAACAGAGGAAUCCAAGGGGAGAAAAAGAUAUCCAAUUAUUGUCAUUGUUAUUAUUUUCAUGUCGUAAACCACUAUCUUUCAAUACUAAAAGUCUAGUAUUUGUGGAUGGUGUAUUAGUUUCUUCCAGCUGUGAGUUAAUUUGAGUUUCAAAUUCAAAUGAUUAAAAAGGAAAAUCAAUUUACUAAGGUCAGGUUGAAUGGUUACAUGAGGGAACUUUCAGUUUUGGAUAUUUUAAUGAGAAGAGUUUUUUCUUUGGGUUAAAGCUUAUGAUUAAUUUCACUUCCUAUUUUUUGCAUUCCUGUAUCAGUUAUGUAAUUGGGAUGAAGCAAUCAUUGUAAAUAUAUUCUAAUUGCAUUUCUCCAAUUUAAGGGAUAUUAAAUGUGAAAAUAUAUUGGUGGAUGCAAGUGGAUCGGUCAAGCUUGCAGAUUUUGGAUUGGCAAAGGCAACCAAAUUGAAUGACGUUAAAUCAAUGAAGGGGACAACAUUCUAGAUGGUGUCUACUAUAUGUGGUUGGUGUAGGACAUGCCAAGAAUGUAAUAUGUUGUGUUGUGAAGAAAGUACAGGCCGACACCUUGGUCAUGGGGCUAUGGAUUCUUUAAGAGCUACCUUGAAGCCCAAGAAUCCAUAGUAAAGAACUUAAAUGCAUUUGGUGCCAACACUCUCAGAGAAUGAAACCAAGAAGUUAUCUGGUAUGGAUUUUUUUUUUCUCUAGGUCCUCCAUGCUUUUUUAAAUACUUUUAUAUUAUUAUGUUUCUUUAAAUAAUUUAAUUAUUGUUAUU